rnacentral:rRNA from 1 species
CAAGUCGAACGGCAGCACGGAGAGCUUGCUCUCUGGUGGCGAGUGGCGAACGGGUGAGUAAUAUAUCGGAACGUAUCCAAUAAUGGGGGAUAACGAGUCGAAAGAUUCGCUAAUACCGCAUACGCCCUACGGGGGAAAGCAGGGGAUCGUAAGACCUUGCGUUAAUGGAGCGGCCGAUAUCUGAUUAGCUUGUUGGUGAGGUAAAGGCUCACCAAGGCGACGAUCAGUAGCUGGUUUGAGAGAACGACCAGCCACACUGGAACUGAGACACGGUCCAGACUCCUACGGGAGGCAGCAGUGGGGAAUUUUGGACAAUGGGGGCAACCCUGAUCCAGCCAUUCCGCGCGAGUGAAGAAGGCCUUCGGGUUGUAAAGCUCUUUCGCAAGGGAAGAAAACUUAUGAUCGAAUAAAUCAUGAGGUUGACGGUACCUUGAUAAGAAGCACCGGCUAACUACGUGCCAGCAGCCGCGGUAAUACGUAGGGUGCGAGCGUUAAUCGGAAUUACUGGGCGUAAAGCGUGCGCAGGCGGUUUUGUAAGUCGGAUGUGAAAUCCCCGGGCUCAACCUGGGAACUGCGUUCGAAACUGCAAGGCUAGAGUGUGUCAGAGGGGGGUAGAAUUUCACGUGUAGCAGUGAAAUGCGUAGAGAUGUGGAGGAAUACCAAUGGCGAAGGCAGCCCCCUGGGAUAACACUGACGCUCAUGCACGAAAGCGUGGGGAGCAAACAGGAUUAGAUACCCUGGUAGUCCACGCCCUAAACGAUGUCAACUAGUUGUUGGUAGAGUAAAAUCUAUGAGUAACGUAGCUAACGCGUGAAGUUGACCGCCUGGGGAGUACGGUCGCAAGAUUAAAACUCAAAGGAAUUGACGGG